rnacentral:lncRNA from 1 species
AAGAAACUUGUCCUCCCCUCUCCUGGUGGCCAUGGUGGAGAUCAGCAGCAGCUUCCCCACCCAGGACAAGGCCUAGUUUUUUGUAUACCAAUUAUACUUCAAUGAGGCUGAAAAAAAAAAAAGUAAAGUUGCACAGGGCUGUGCUGGAGCAGGACACUCUGCAGUCAUGUAAGAAUGGUGGAAGAAGAUAGAGGGCAAUAAAAGAAGAUGGGCAAUAAAAGAGGUGUCAGGCCUCUGAGCCGAAGCUAAGCCAUCAUAUCCCCUGUGACCUGCACAAACACAUCCAGAUGGCCGGUUCCUGCCUUAACUGAUGACAUUGUCUUGUGAAAUUCCUUCUCCUGGCUCAUCCUGGCUCAAAAGCUCCCCUACUGAGCACCUUGUGACCCCCACUCUGCCUGCCAGAGAACAACCCCCCUUUGACUGUAAUUUUCCUUUACCUACCCAAAUCCUAUAAAACGGCCCCACCCUUAUCUCCCUUCGCUGACUCUCUUUUCGGACUCAGUCCACCUGCACCCAGGUGAUUAAAAGCUUUAUUGCUCACACAAAGCCUGUUUGGUGGUGUCUUCACACGGACGCGC